GCCUAUAAAACACCUCGUCCCGUGCCUCCAUCAGGCAUCCAAGCUCAAAGCAAGCAGAUCUAAGCUCCAGGCAGCGUCGCGACAGAGUGAGCUAGUGAGUAGCACGACAACAACAAUGGCUUCCCUGAAGGCCGCGAAGCCCAGCGGAGUUGCGGCGCAGGGCAAGGAGCCGGCGCCCAAGCUCAGCGAGACGGCGACGAAGCCGUCAGCCGCGAAGAGCGGCGGCGUUAAGAAGGCUGAGCAGAAGCCCCGGGAAACCAAAAGGAAGGUACGUGCUGUAGUAUAUCACUGCACAGGCACAGCUGCGUCAUAUGUCUAUGCUAUCCUUGUGAUUACCUUGUGACCUGUUCGUGUCGUGAUGGCCUAAAAGUACGUGCUUCCCAUGAUGAAACCAGGUGAAGAGCAGCAAACAGGCGGCGGCGGCCAAAAAGUGACGUACAGUACGUGUGGAGUGUAAUGGAGCUUCCAUGCAUGAGUGAAUCCAUGCCAUGUUAUGAAUCUAGUCCUUCCUUUCUUGUAUCUUCCAUGUGACGCGGCGUGUGCGUCCCCUCAUGUGUGAUGAUGCCAGAUGAAUACUACAAAUAAGACGUUGUUGUGACUGUGUGCCA
rnacentral:lncRNA from 1 species